CCUACGGGUGGCAGCAGUGAGGAAUAUUGGUCAAUGGGCGAAAGUCUGAACCAGCAAAGUAGCGUGAAGGAUGACUGCCCUAUGAUUGUUAAACUUCUUUUAUAUGGGAAUAAAAUAUUCCACGUGUGGGAUUUUGUCUGUACCAUAUGAAUAAAGAUCGGCUAACUCCGUGCCAGCAGCCGCGGUAAUACGGAGGGUCCGGGCGUUAUCCGGAUUUAUUGGGUUUAAAGGGAGCGUAGGUGGAUUUGUAAGUCAGUUGUGAAAGUUUGCGGCUCAACCGUUGAAUUGCAGUUGAAACUGGCAGUCUUGAGUACAGUAGAGGUGGGCGGAAUUCGUGGUGUAGCGGUGAAAUGCUUAGAUAUCACGAAGAACUCCGAUGGCGAAGGCAGCUCACUGGACUGCAACUGACACUGAGGCUCGAAAGUGUGGGUAUCAAACAGGAUUAGAUACCCCAGUAGUC
rnacentral:rRNA from 1 species